GAUGAACGCUGGCGGCGUGCCUAAUACAUGCAAGUCGAGCGAACGGACGAGAAGCUUGCUUUUCUGAUGUUAGCGGCGGACGGGUGAGUAACACGUGGAUAACCUACCUAUAAGACUGGGAUAACUUCGGGAAACCGGAGCUAAUACCGGAUAAUAUUUUGAACCGCAUGGUUCAAAAGUGAAAGACGGUCUUGCUGUCACUUAUCGAUGGAUCCGCGCUGCAUUAGCUAGUUGGUAAGGUAACGGCUUACCAAGGCAACGAUGCAUAGCCGACCUGAGAGGGUGAUCGGCCACACUGGAACUGAGACACGGUCCAGACUCCUACGGGAGGCAGCAGUAGGGAAUCUUCCGCAAUGGGCGAAAGCCUGACGGAGCAACGCCGCGUGAGUGAUGAAGGUCUUCGGAUCGUAAAACUCGGUUAUUAGGGAAGAACAUAUGUGUAAGUAACUGUGCACAUCGUGACGGUACCUAAUCAGAAAGCCACGGCUAACUACGUG
rnacentral:rRNA from 1 species